UACGUAGGCAGCGAGCGUUGCUCGGAGUUACUGGGCGUAAAGGGUGUGUAGGCGGUUGUUUAAGUUUGGUGUGAAAUCUCCCGGCUCAACUGGGAGGGUGCGCCGAAUACUGAAUGACUUGGAGUGCGGGAGAGGAGAGUGGAAUUCCUGGUGUAGCGGUGAAAUGCGUAGAUAUCAGGAGGAACACCGGUGGUGUAGACGGCUCUCUGGACCGUAACUGACGCUGAGACACGAAAGCGUGGGGAUCAAACAGG
rnacentral:rRNA from 1 species